UUUAUCCAUUUCGAGUCUGUUUUUGUGUAUGGUGUAAGGAAAUGGUCCAGUUUCAUUCUUCUGCAGUCACAACAGUCUUCUGAGAGGGGUGCUUUGGUCAGUCCUACUUGAGAGAGGCUAUAUGAUUUGAACAUUGCUGUGCAGCACUGUUUCUCUAAAGACGAUUUUAAAGAAUACAUUCUACUUGGUUCACCAGAGGAUGCCAAAUUGCACAUAAUUGAAUUGAGCAGGUAAAUAAAACAUUGGGAAAGAUUGAUCCAUAAUUUCGUGGCAAAUCGCCCACGAGAACAAACGGGAACUUCUCAGGCAAGGCCAGGGCGCUGGGAGGGGACUCAACACGACAGGCCAAGCAAACGAAUCCUCUCGGUGUUUUGUCAUGGGAGGUAUUUGGGAUCGGUAGCAGGGUGGUUCCUGGUUGGAGUGUAGACAGACAGGGGAGGCCUGGUUAGGAGCACUGGGUGACGCAUACAGAUCCUGGGAGCAGGGGUGGCGUGGGGAGAACAGAGAGUCUCUCUGCCCGUGCUUCUUCCCUUCCCUUGCCACAGCUUGACAAAAUGACGAUUCAGUUACUGAUCCUGAGAACAUCCCUGGAGCCCUUGCAGCGGGCGGCACCGGCUGGGACCGAGGGUAGAGGGGCACAGACCAGGAGGUCAGUCCUAAGCCCAGCAGCGGUGGGGGAGCAGCACAGCAGCUAGAGGCUGCCCCACCCGUGGCCGUGGGGCUCUGAGGAGUCUGCCUUGUGGUGCUCCGUGGUUUUUCAGGAGCAGAAGUCGUGGCCCCAAAAUCAAUCACACGACAGUUCGUGCCUGUGAAUCUAAUCCCAUGGGAAGCCACACUUUCAAUAAUAACAAAAUUCAGUGCAAGCUCAUAGUUAGGGAUUCUCAGAUUUACAGGCUUCUGGACUGAAUACUCAAAAACCCUGACACGCAGAUUCUGCGGUAAUGAGUGAAAAUGGUGCGGUUGUUGGCCUUGGACACUGGCAAAGAGCAGGCUCCACAAUCUUGGUUAACUCUCCAUGCUCUCAACUCUGUAACCUAAUUUUACAUGAACAUUGCACGAACGUUUGUCUCUCCCCCUGGAAACGCCAGGACGGCAAGAGCCGGGUCUGCUUCCUCUCGCUGCUGUGGCCAAGGCGCCCCACACUGUGCCGGGCGUCUGCUGGACACACAGCAUUUGCCUGAAUGGAAUGAAGACUUUUUCCCACAAUGGAGCAUCGCUGAGAAACUUCUAAAUUCUCUCAGACAUUAAUCAUUUAUUAACACAGGCUGAAGUCAUAUAUGAAAUGCAAAUUCUACCACAAAAGUGAACUACGAGUGUAGCCACCAUUCAGCCUCCCAAUGUCAGUGCCACAGCCCUGCCUAUACUCCUACCAUUUCCUCUCUGAAUCGCACUCUCUCUCGUACAGAUCUACUGCGGGACAGUGAAAUACAAGCCUCGCUGCCCCUCACUUUACGGUAGAGUCUAGUCUGAGCAGCUCAGCCUGGCGUUCGAGGCUGUUUUCUGGCUCGGCGUAUCUUUCCUCGCCUGACUUCCACACGCUUCUGCCUGCAUCCGGCCGUCUGCAGUUGGGCCCACAGGGCUCCUGCACGGUGUGACCGUGAAUAGCCGAGGUCUGUCGUUUGCUUGGCCUGUCGUGUUGAGUGCCCUCCCAGCGCCCUGGUCUUGCCUGAGAAGUUCCCAUUUGUUUUCGUGGGCGUCGCUCACACGCGCCUGCUCCCAAGCCACAGUCGUUCCCUGCUCCGAACCCAGUCGGAAUUACUUUUUCUACUCUCCGGGGCUCGACACCUGGGUGUGUCUUCUAAAGAAGAACACAUCAGGAAAUCUUAAAUGAGGUUCCUCUUGACCCCCGGCUGGAGUGAACCUUCUGAAUUCACCCUAGAAUGGCUUCAGCAGAGGAGCAGGAGGGACUGAAGAUUGUUAAGGUGGAGGAAGACGUGAUCUGGGACCAGGAAACCUGCCUUCGAGAGAACAGCUUUUCUACCCAGGAGGCCUCCCGCCAGCUUUUUAGGCACUUUUGUUACCAAGAGACCCCUGGACCCCGCGAGGCGCUGAGCCGGCUGCGGGAGCUCUGCCGCCAGUGGCUGCGGCCCGAGACGCACAGCAAGGAGCAGAUCGUGGAGCUGCUGGUGCUGGAGCAGUUCCUGACCAUCCUGCCCGAGGCGCUGCAGGCCCGGGUGCGGGAGCAGCAGCCGGAGAGUGGGGAGCAGGCGGUGGCUGUGGUUGAAGAUCUGGAAAGGGAGCUCAGUGAGCCCGAGAACCAGGCCCUGGCUCACGAACAUGGCCCUUCUGAGACGCUCUCAGAGGAUGUGCCGCAUUUGAAGGCCAAGCAGGACUCGGUAGCCAUCCAGCUUCAGUCCAUCGUGACACAGCUCCAGGGUGAAUCUUUGAGUCCCCACAGACUCGGAGAACGAGGUUGUGAACCUGUACCUGAACGCCGGGAGCUGGCAUCGAAGCAGGAAGUCUUGAAGGAAGUGGAACACUUUGGAAACCGCAGACUGCCUGGAGAUGUCCCCGUAGAUUGUAAGUACAGAGAGCCUUGUGCACCGCAGAGCAGAGCGGAAAAGCAGAGGGGACAGGCGGCCGGAGAGAGACGGCACAGGUGCAGUGAGUGUGGGAAAGGCUUUACUCAGAGCUCAGUCCUCGUCCAGCACCGGAGAACCCACACGGGGGAGAAGCCCUACGAGUGCGAAGAAUGCGGGAAGACCUUCAGCCAGAGGUCGGGCCUGAUCGAGCACCAGCGGAGCCACACCGGAGAGAAACCCUACAAGUGUAAGGAGUGCGGCAAAGCCUUCAGCGCCAGCAACGGCCUCAUCAGACACAGGAGGAUCCACACAGGGGAGAAGCCGUACGAGUGCGAGGCGUGCGGGAAGGCCUUCCGCCUGAGCUCGUACCUCGCGCAGCACCAGAGGAUCCACACCGGGGAGAAGCGCUACCGCUGCCCCGAGUGCGGGAAGGCCUUCAGCCAGAACGCGGGGCUCUUCCAGCACCUGCGCGUGCACACCGGGGAGAAGCCCUACCCGUGCGGCCAGUGCGGCAAGCGCUUCAGCCGGAGAACGCUGCUCGUCAAGCACCAGAGGAGCCACACCGGCGAGCGGCCGUUCGCCUGCGAGCAGUGCGGGAAGGCGUUCGGCCACCACUGCAACCUCGUUCGGCAUUUCAGAACCCACACGGUUGCCAAGCUGGCCUCACUCCGUGCACCCCCAGACCCUUGAGUGGGGCCGUCUAAGAAAGGAAGAUUUUCGGGCGGCGUAUUUUGUUUUUACCAACUUUAUUCUGCUUUGGAACGAGGAGCUCGUCUGCAGGCUGGGCUGCGUCUCCACGGUGACUGUGGGUGUGGCAGUUGCCUGGCAGCCUCCUCCUCCCCGUCCCUCGCUUCAUUUCUGAGGAUUUCCCUAAAAAGGGACCAAAAAUUACCUGGAAAUAGAUUGGUAUGGAGGGGCUGUUCUUGAGUGAUACUCAACACCGCACAGCUCUGCAGGACUGGUAUCUGUGCGUACUCUUCAAAGGCCGGCGCUCUGCAGACGUGCGCUCGGAUUUAUGAAGAGAUGGUCCCGUCUGAGGAGCGGAGGAGGAGUUUCUGGGACUGACUAGGGUAGUAAAUGUCUCGGCUCAUAUACUUUCCCCGGCACCAAAAUCCGAAGCUGGACUUCCUGAGAGAGGAGAUAAAAGUUCAGCUUAGAAGUGUACUGUGCUAAACCUUUAUCUUAGGAGUUCAUAAAAAGUUAGAAGAGUGCGUGUACAUGUGUGUAUAUUUGGCUUUCCUUAGACUUCAGGGACCACAGCAAACAAAAACUCUUUAAUAUUCCUUGACUGUUUUAUUUGUGAAUAGAACAAUUAGCUGAAUUCACAUUAUUUGGAAUAUGUGUCAGAUUUUAGAGUAGCUACAAAUCAGUUGGGAUUUUCUUAAAACAGAGUCUAAUUCAGAAGCUCAGAACGGAGGCCAGGAAGCUGGAUUUUCGGCCAGCUCCCUGUGCCGCCUCGCCGCUGCUGCUGCUUCCAGAG